CCUACGGGUGGCAGCAGUGAGGAAUAUUGGUCAAUGGACGAGAGUCUGAACCAGCCAAGUAGCGUGAAGGAUGACUGCCCUAUGGGUUGUAAACUUCUUUUAUAUGGGAAUAAAAUGUUCCACGUGUGGGAUUUUGUAUGUACCAUAUGAAUAAGGAUCGGCUAACUCCGUGCCAGCAGCCGCGGUAAUACGGAGGAUCCGAGCGUUAUCCGGAUUUAUUGGGUUUAAAGGGUGCGUAGGUGGUUUGUUAAGUCAGUUGUGAAAGUUUGCGGCUCAACCGUAAAAUUGCAGUUGAAACUGGCAGGCUGGAGUACAGUAGAGGUAGGCGGAAUGCGUGGUGUAGCGGUGAAAUGCUGAGAGAUCACGAAGAACACCGAUUGCGAAGGCAGCUCACUAGACUGCAACUGACAUUGAGGCUCGAAAGUGUGGGUAGCAAACAGGAUUAGAUACCCUAGUAGUC
rnacentral:rRNA from 1 species